CAUAACACCAUAAUUUAAAUCAUAAGACUCAGCAUAACAUCAUAGUUCAUAGUUUAACAAACGUAGUUCAACAAACAACAUAGUUCAACAGAAAACAUAGUUCAACAGACAACAUCAUAACACUCAGAAUACGACAUAGGUAACAUACUUCACUUCCUCCCUCUCUUUGCAGCCAUCUUGCCCUUAGUAACGUAGCCCUCUGGAGUGUUCUGCCAGCCAGGACGUCUGAUGUUCCUUGAGCUAGCUCGACGUGUUUCUUCCGUCGGCUGAGUGGGUUGACUUGACUGCGGAGCAUCUUCCAUCUGCGAAGCCCCAAACUCAAUGAAGUCCGGAUCCGCGGCCUCGUUGUCGGACUCAUCUUCUUCUUCAAUCUCCUCUUCAUGUGCUCGGCUAGAAGAAACAUGUGCUCGACUCGAAGACGGACGAGCGGAAGAGGACCAUAGUCAAGAUGCGCUCGACUCGAAGACACAUGUGACAUACCAUUCACGAAUAAAUGACACUUGUUUAUAUUUUAAAGGAGGGACGUACCACUCGGUCAUGGAGAGGACCAUAGUCAAGAUGCGCUCCAACUGUCUCCCUAAUUGAAUUGUUGAAUGCAGCAUCAGCAGCCUCACUCGGCAGUAAGUCCAAGCAAUCGGAACGAGUCCAGGCAGCCUUAUGGAUAACUCUGUACUCUGUACGCAUCCACUCCAAAUGCCUUAAGUAUGCCGCCUCGUCAGUGUCUGGUGUUUCAUCAUUUUCAACUCGAUGUUGUCUCUGAGCA
rnacentral:lncRNA from 1 species